rnacentral:rRNA from 1 species
CCCUUCGCCAGGGAACAACGAGCCCCAGCUUGAAACCCAAAGGACUUGGCGGUGCUUUAGACCCCCCUAGAGGAGCCUGUUCUAGAAUCGAUAUUCCCCGUUCAACCUCACCCCCUCUUGUUUAUACCGCCUAUAUACCGCCGUCGUCAGCUUACCCUGUGAAGGAUUAAUAGUAAGCAAAAUUGGCAGAGCCUAAAACGUCAGGUCAAGGUGUAGCGUACAGGGGGGAAGAAAUGGGCUACAUUUGCUGACCCAGCAAACACGGACGUUGCACUGAAACGUGCAGCUAAAGGAGGAUUUAGCAGUAAGGAGAGAAUAGAGCGCCCUCCUGAAGAUGGCCUGAGCGCG